ensembl:lncRNA
GUGUGUGGAAGAGUCCAGUCAGUGUGUGGGUAGAGUCCAGUGUGUGGAUAGAGUCCAGUUGUGUGGGUAGAGUCCAGUCAGUGUGUGGGUAGAGUCCAGUGUGUGGAUAGAGUCCAGUGUGUGGGUAGAGUCCAGUCAGUGUGGGGGUGAAGUCCAGUGUGUGGAUAGAGUCCAGUGUGUGGGUAGAGUCCAGUGUGUGGAUAGAGUCCAGUGUGUGGGUAGAGUCCAGUGUGUGGGUAGAGUCCAGUCAGUGUGUGGGUAGAGUCCAGUCAGUGUGUGGGUAGAGUCCAGUCAGUGUGUGGGUAGAGUCCAGUCAGUGUGUGGGUAGAGUCCAGUCAGUGUGUGGGUAGAGUCCAGUCAGUGUGGGGGUAAAGUCCAGUGUGUGGGUAGAGUCCAGUGUGUGGAUAGAGUCCAGUGUGUGGGUAGAGUCCAGUGUGUGGGUAGAGUCCAGUGUGUGGGUAGAGUCCAGUGUGUGGGAAGAGUCCAGUGUGUGGAUAGAGUCCCGUGUGUGGGUAGAGUCCAGUGUGUGGGUAGAGUCCAUAGUGUGGAUAGAGUCCCGUGUGUGGGUAGAGUCCAGUGUGUGGGUAGAGUCCAGUGUGUGGAUAAAGUCCAGUGUGUGGGUAGAAUCCAGUGUGUUGAUAGAUUCCAGUGUGUAUAGAGUCCAGUGUGUGGAUAGAGACCAGUGUGUGGGUAGAUUCCAGUGUGUGGAUAGAGUCCAGUGUGUGGAUAGAGUCCAGUGUGUGGAUAGAGUCCAGUGUGUGG